rnacentral:rRNA from 1 species
UCAGCAUGCCGCGGUGAAUACGUUCCCGGGCCUUGUACACACCGCCCGUCACACCAUGGGAGUUGGGAGCGCCCGAAGCCGGUGAGGUAACCGAGAGGAGCCAGCCGUCGAAGGUGAGACCAAUGACUGGGGUGAAGUCGUAACAAGGUAUC